AGAAGGGCACAGUUGACAUGUUUGGCACCAAAGUUAAUUUUUAUUCAUUUUUUACAAUGUACAAUAUACAAAAAUAUAGAGUAGCAAAAAAUUCACAGUGUCUAAAAGGCAGUGAUUAAAAAGUCUCAAUUCGCAAAUCCAACAGCCAUGUUUGUAGUUCUGGAAAAGAGCAAUAACUUGUGAGCAGGACUACAAUACCCAGCUGACAGUACCACCUGGUUGAUUGCGUAGAAGGGUGCAGAGCCCUCUGAUUGGUGUUUUUCCAACAUGCAACAGCAACAUGUCCAAUCACGAUGACAAAACGAAGUGAAUGUGUCAUGUGAAUGUCCACAACGAUGAAUGUACAAGUAAUAUUUAUUUUAAUUUUAUUUUUAACACACACACACACACACACACACACACACACACACACACACACACACACACACACACACAAUUAAACUCAUUGAAAUACAUGAAGAGGGUUGUAUCUUGAGAUUUGAGGGUAACAGAUACCAUGGCAGCUAAACAUAUGUGUGGCUACAUUACUACAUCAAAGGGCUGAACAUUAAUCUACAUAGUAUCUAGGCUGGUCCCAGAUCUGUCAUUACUACAUUACAGGGUUGAACAUUAUGCUACAUAACAUCUAACCUGGUCUCAGAUCUGUCAUUACUACAUUACAGGGUUGAACAUUAUGCUACAUAACAUCUAGCCUUGUCCCUGAUCUGUUUGUCCUCCUGCCAACCCCAUUGGUCAUUGUCAAGCCAUGUGACAAUGAGUGAUGAGGGGUUGGCAUGACAGCACAAACAGACUGGCACUCACAUCAAAUCCAGGAUGGAGAACAACUCAGACCUCGGUUACUGACAGGUACAAACCUCCAUCUCCUUCUUGAUAUUUACAAAACAUAUCCAUUUUUACAACUAGAAGCCUUAGAAAAUACAGAAAAGCUAUACAAUAUACAUUUUACAAACCAUACUGACUUUAGGUUUCAUUGCCUUUAGCAUGGAACAGCAUCUAUGAACAAAUUAAGAUUAGAUGUUUAAGAAAACAUGACUUAACAUUCAUCGAAUGGAGAAUGAGUAGUUUGAGAACCUUCACAGUAAACUUCCAGACUCAGUAUCAUUUAGGUGAAGAUGUCCUACCAUCAGCUCAGUAUCAUUUAGGUGAAGAUGUCCUACCAUCAGCUCAGUAUCAUUUAGGUGAAGAUGUCCUACCAUCAGCUCAGUAUCAUUUAGGUGAAGAUGUCCUACCACCAGCUCAGUAUCAUUUAGGUGAAGAUGUCCUACCAUCAGCUCAGUAUCAUUUAGGUGAAGAUGUCCUACCAUCAGCUCAGUAUCAUUUAGGUGAAAAUGUCCUACCAUCAGCUCAGUAUCAUUUUGGUGAAGAUGUCCUACCAUCAGCUCAGUAUCAUUUAGGUGAAGAUGUCCUACCACCAGCUCAGUAUCAUUUAGGUGAAGAUGUCCUACCACCAGCUCAGUAUCAUUUAGGUGAAGAUGUCCUACCAUCAGCUCAGUAUCAUUUAGGUGAAGAUGUCCUACCACCAGCUCAGUAUCAUUUUGGUGAAGAUGUCCUACCAUCAGCUCAGUAUCAUUUAGGUGAAGAUGUCCUACCAUCAGCUCAGUAUCAUUUAGGUGAAGAUGUCCUACCAUCAGCUCAGUAUCAUUUAGGUGAAGAUGUCCUACCAUCAGCUCAGUAUCAUUUAGGUGAAGAUGUCCUACCAUCAGCUCAGUAUCAUAUAGGUGAAGAUGUCCUACCAUCAGCUCAGUAUCAUUUAGGUGAAGAUGUCCUACCAUCAGCUCAGUAUCAUUUAGGUGAAAAUGUCCUACCAUCAGCUCAGUAUCAUUUUGGUGAAGAUGUCCUACCAUCAGCUCAGUAUCAUUUAGGUGAAGAUGUCCUACCAUCAGCUCAGUAUCAUUUAGGUGAAGAUGUCCUACCAUCAGCUCAGUAUCAUUUAGGUGAAGAUGUCCUACCAUCAGCUCAGUAUCAUUUAGGUGAAGAUGUCCUACCAUCAGCUCAGUAUCAUUUAGGUGAAGAUGUCCUACCAUCAGCUCAGUAUCAUUUUGGUGAAGAUGUCCUACCAUCAGCUCAGUAUCAUUUAGGUGAAGAUGUCCUACCACCAGCUCAGUAUCAUUUAGGUGAAGAUGUCCUACCACCAGCUCAGUAUCAUUUAGGUGAAGAUGUCCUACCAUCAGCUCAGUAUCAUUUAGGUGAAGAUGUCCUACCACCAGCUCAGUAUCAUUUUGGUGAAGAUGUCCUACCAUCAUCUCAGUAUCAUUUAGGUGAAGAUGUCCUACCAUCAGCUCAGUAUCAUUUAGGUGAAGAUGUCCUACCAUCAGCUCAGUAUCAUUUAGGUGAAGAUGUCCUACCAUCAGCUCAGUAUCAUUUAGGUGAAGAUGUCCCACCAUCAGCUCAGUAUCAUAUAGGUGAAGAUGUCCUACCAUCAGCUCAGUAUCAUUUAGGUGAAGAUGUCCUACCAUCAGCUCAGUAUCAUCAGUUUAUAUGGGGCUCAGAUCUGUAACAUGAACAACUUGAAUGACUGGAAAAGAUAGGCGUUGAUCAUCACUACUCUAAUAUCAUCACAUUGAUACUCUCCACACUCACAGUAACAUAUACAACAAUGAAUGGCCCAGCAAGACACACACACACACAGUAUGGCAAUCUCCUUCUGCAGAUGAUUACCAUAACAUGAUCCAGUAUUGGGAUCCAGUAAUGUGAUCCAGUAAUGGGGUCCAGUAAUGUGAUCCAGUAUUGGGGUCCAGUAAUGGGAUCCAGUAAUGAGAUCCAGUAAUGGGGUCCAGUAAUGUGAUCCAGUAAUGGGAUCCAGUAUUGUGAUCCAGUAAUGGGAUCCAGUAUUGGGGUCCAGUAUUGGGAUCCAGUAAUGGGAUCCAGUAGUGUGAUCCAGUAUUAUGAUCCAGUGGAAGUAGUGCUGAGUGAUCCAGAAUUGUGAUCUAGUGGAGGAGGUGCUGAGUGAUCCAGUAUUGUGAUCCAGUGGAGGAGGUGCUAAGUGAUUCAGUAUUGUGAUCUAGUGGAGGAGGUGUUGAGUGAACCAGAACUGUGAUCUAGUGGAGGAGGUGCUGAGUGAUCCAGUAUUGUGAUCCAGUGGAGGAGGUGCUAAGUGAUUCAGUAUUGUGAUCUAGUGGAGGAGGUGUUGAGUGAUCCAGUAUUGUGAUCCAGUGGAGGUGCUGAGUGAUCCAGUAUUGUGAUCUAGUGGAGGAGGUGCUGAGUGAUCCAGUAUUGUGAUCCAGUGGAGGUGCUGAGUGAUCCAGUAUUGUGAUCUAGUGGAGGAGGUGCUGAGUGAUCCAGUGUUGUGAUCCAGUGGAGGUGCUGAGUGAUCCAGUAUUGUGAUCUAGUGGAGGAGGUGCUGAGUGAUCCAGUAUUGUGAUCUAGUGGAGGAGGUGUUGAGUGAUCCAGUAUUGUGAUCCAGUGGAGGAGGUGUUGAGUGAUCCAGUAUUGUGAUCCAGUGGAGGUGCUAAGUGAUCCAGUAUUGUGAUCCAGUGGAGGUGCUGAGUGAUCCAGUAUUGUGAUCUAGUGGAGGAGGUGCUAAGUGAUCCAGUAUUGUGAUCCAGUGGAGGUGCUGAGUGAUCCAGUAUUGUGAUCUAGUGGAGGUGCUGAGUGAUCCAGUAUUGUGAUCCAGUGGAGGUGCUGAGUGAUCCAGUAUUGUGAUCUAGUGGAGGUGCUGAGUGAUCCAGUAUUGUGAUCUAGUGGAGGUGCUGAGUGAUCCAGUAUUGUGAUCUAGUGGAGGUGCUGAGUGAUCCAGUAUUGUGAUCCAGUGGAGGUGCUGAGUGAUCCAGUAUUGUGAUCUAGUGGAGGAGGUGCUAAGUGAUCCAGUAUUGUGAUCCAGUGGAGGUGCUAAGUGAUCCAGUAUUGUGAUCCAGUGGAGGUGCUGAGUGAUCCAGUAUUGUGAUCUAGUGGAGGAGGUGCUGAGUGAUCCAGCAUUGUAAUCCAGGUGAUGACCUUAUCUGCCACCAUUCAAUACACAUUUCAUC